CAGUCCUGGGGAGGGAGGAGACACAGCAGAGAGGCUGUCAGCUCUCACUCAGCCUGGGAGAUUUCCACAUGAUCUCAGAGGUCAGAUGAGCUCUUACCACUUCUCUUCUAAAACACCCACAAAUCAGGGUGUAAGUGCUUUCUGGAAUCUAAAUAUCGUUUUGUCUUUACACAACAACGUCCUGAAAUAAUUCCUGGUACUGAUUAACUUGGGCUCAUCAUCUAAAUUAUCAUAAUCGUGAGGGCUAUAACAAUGCACUGUCCUUCUGUUUUGUCCUUCAACGGCUUAUGGAGGAAACAAAUACUGUCAACAAGCCCACUGAGGAGCUUUACUUAAGGUGAAUUUUUAAGGAAUGUAAAGGAAUUGUAUUUUAACUGUACCAGAGGGACGGCUAUUUAAAUAAAUGUCCAACAGGGUUUCUAAACCUCAGAACUAUUUACAUUUUGGGGAGGACAAUUCUUUGCUGUGAGGACUGUCCUGGGCAUUGUAGGGUGGUUAGCACCAUCCCUGGCCUCUGCUCUACUCACAAGGUCCUGAGAAUAAUGACGACCAAAAAUGUCUCCAGACAUGGCCAAAUGUUCCCUCAGGGGCCAAAUUGUCUCUGGUUGAGAACCACUGUUCUGUAUCAAACCCAUUUUAAGGUGAGUUCUUGUGGCUUAUCACACUGUUUUUCCUAAAUUGAGACUGUCAUGUUAAGGUAGCUUAAAAACAACCAGCACUAUGCUGAAGGGGGAGGCGGGAGAGAUUGAGGUGCAGCUGCAGCUCUGGACCAUGGACCUUGAACCCUCAGUGUCAGUUCUGACCAGUUCUGUAUCCAUGAGAACUUGGAAUGCAGCCCCCGCCAUAUCCUGUAGAAACCAACAGCAGAAGAGGAAAUGCUUGUGGGUGAUGGAGAGGUGAAUCCCGCUCUUCUAACCCUGAACUCACCUCAUCUGGUGGGUGCCGGACUUUCUGUAGAUAUUUUUUUAGCACUUCCUCUGGGGUUUUACCUGCAGAGACAGGAGGUUCAGUGGGCCACCAAGGCAGAGGUAAGAGAUCAAACAGCCUUGUCGUGCUAGACAUGGUAGAGGGGGACGUUAUCAGGCAAGUUAAAAGCAAAAAGGGGAGGAAUUCCUUCUGCAAUUUAAGUUAAGAACAUGGAAGAGAGUAUGGAUUGUGGAAAAGCUAGUGAGAUGGUUUGACGAGAAGGCUUUAUUUCUUGCAGUCCCUUUUCUGACAUCUCUCUGCCUAUUUUCAACAAACCACUUUUUUAAUUGAGAAGAGUUGAGUGGGUUUCUCUUCCUUAUAAUCAAAUGAUUUGAUAACAGCACUUUGCAAACUGUUACACGUUAAAUAGAUGUUAGGCAGUCUUACCACCUUCAUUUUACAAUUUGCUAAGUGUAGUCUCAAUUUAUAAUGUGGUGUCAAAGUGUGAUUAUUUUUAUGGGAAACAAGGAAGUUAUGACCCACGACUCCAGAACAAUCUUUCCUGGCUGUGGAUGGCACUGUCACUGCCAGCCAGCACAGUCCUGCAGCAGGGGAAGGGUGAUCCUCUGGGAAGCAUCCUGAUGGGCUGCAAUGAUUUAGGGAUUUUUUUCAGGGGACUGGACUCUUAAAAGGUAGCCCAACCUGAAGGUAGAGGAUGGGAUGAUAUAACCUGAAAAAUGAUCAGUGCUACCUUGGGCCACUCCCUUAAUUUCUCUAAGCUUCUGUUUUCUCACCUAUGAAAUGGGGAUGAGCAAUAGCACUACCUCAAAGGGUUGCUUUGACAAUUGAAUGAGCAAAUGGAUGUACUGCCCUUUAGCUCUCUGCCAGAUAAGGGCCCGAUAUGCACUAUUAAUAAUAACAGGAAGAGUGGGAAAGUGUAAAAUGCUGUUAUUUCCGAUAAGACUAUGAGCAAGGCAAUUGAGCUCAUUUAAGCAGGGAAAUCUUGACGGACUGGAAAAGUAGGACAAGGGUUUGAGGAAGUGGAUCAUGCAACAGCCAAAAGCUUCGAUGCAGGCCCUUUCCUCCAGUUGCCCUGCUUCUCUUGUAAGAAUUAAGCUCUAGUAAUUAAGAGCCUAUUUCUUGCCAGGCCCUGGGCUAAGUGCAACACACACAUGAUCCAAUUUAAACUUCACAAGCCUGCAAGAUUGGGGCUUAGGGAGAUGGUCAAAUUUAACAACUAAUGCCAGUGACCAGAAAGACAAGCCACAGAGCUAAGCUGGGGUCCUGCAGUGCUAGGAAGGUACAGAUAUUGACCCCUUAUUUGCCGGAUUGCCUGCAGGUAGGAGGGGGUUCCUAAAGGAGGAUUUCAGAGCAGAGAUUUCUGUAGGUUCUAGGGGGACACAGGACAGGGACUACUUCCUAACUGUCAUGGAUGCAUUCCAGGAUAUACCUGCUGGAUACCAGUUAUACCAGUUGUGACUAUUUUUACUUCAUUAUAAAGAUGAGAAAAUAGGGGCUCCAUGUGGUCACACAACUUGCAAGAAACAAAGGAUAAAUCAAACCAGGAUGGGAGGAUGGAGGAGAAAGCUGAAUACAAAACAAGGGCCACUGGGCCAAGAAAAGAAGAAUGGACUUGUUUCUGGACUCUGUGACCUGCUCCCCAGGGCCAGGCAUGGUAUGGUGGAUGGGCAGUCAGGAAAAUCAGGUGCAAGUCCCAUCCCUGCCAGGAGUUUCUCGCUAAGCCAGGGACCUCUGGCUGGCAACACCCUGCCUGGGCCUCACUCGGCCACACAACCUGCUGCAGGAGAUGGCAAGAGAUGACUCGCCCACUCUGCCCACCUGGGCCAAGUUUGGCUGCACACCAGUUCCUAAGUUCUUGUCCCACACCCAAGAAGAAUGAGGAUAUGCUGACAAUCGAAGAGUGAACAAGGUGGGGAGUUUUAUUGAGUGAUGAAACAGCUUUCAGCAGAGAGGGGACCCAGGGGUGGUGCCCCUACCGAAAAGUGGGAAAGUCCCUGCAAUGUGGCUGAGUCUGGGGCUUUUAUAAGCUCAGAAUAGGGGAGGGGCAGGCUGUAGGUAGUACUGGAAAAGGCAACAUUUGAUUGGUUAAAAGGCAUUAUUCAGAAAGAAUCAAUUGGGAAAGGGUACAAAAACAGGAACAGAAGUUCUCACUCUGGGUUGCGGGUUUUAUCUUGGACCAGCAGUCCAGUCUUUCAGCCUUCAGGCUGUUUUUGGCUUGAAAGUGAGGUUUCACUGGGGACCUGCCCCUAUCUGCCUAGUCAUUUGGCUGCCUUCUGCUGCUCUCAAAUUGGUAUUUGCACAAUCUUUAUUACUUACAAAGCACCUCACAUAUCCCACGUAAAUUUCAUAGCAAUCCUAGAAAUACCUUUCACAAAUGAGGAAAUUAAGUUUAGAGAGUUUAAAUGGCACUAUUUUAUAUUCUCUCCAGGGUGGCAGGGACUGUGCAAUUAACCCCCUCACAGAUUUGCCUAAAAGACUUUUUUUUUUUUUUUAAACACAAUACUGUUAUCAAUCCUGGAGAUGCCUGAGAGUUGUCCCAGAACUUCUGGAAACUAUGCCAUGGAUCUAUAAUAUACCUUUCUAGGUUUGUCUUCCUCAGUCUCUGUGUUUUCUUCUAUUCCUGCCUGACAGAGGCCCCUUUUAUCCUCAUGCAUUCCCCCAGAGUUCCCUGACUCCCUUCCCCACAAUUCGCUAGGUCCCUUCUACUGAAAUGGCCUCUUUUGCCAUUUUUACCUAUUGAAAUUCUCCUUACCAUUCAGGUCUCAAGCCAUUUUCCAUCCAUUUCUUAAAAUGUUCUCCCAGCCCAGGCCCCACCCUCAGGAAGCCUGAGCUGUGUAGCUUGACUAUGCUGAUGUGCACCAAUGUUUCAGCAACAUUUUUCAUACCAUCCUGCCUUAAGUGGGUGCAGGAAUGCCACUGUGGAGCUCUUUGCAUUCUUAGUGCCUAAUGCAGUGUCUGGCAGUUGCAAGGGCUCCAGAAACUGCUGUGACUGAUUGAAGACUUCUGGCUACUUUAAUAUUUAAUCAUUUAUCACAUAUCCCUGAGCACUCAUUAACUGCUAUGGGGAAUGCAGAUUCAAGCAUUCCUCAAUUAGCUUUCAGUCUGAAACAGGGUUAGAAGACAAGUGUGUGAAUGACUAUUUAUGAGGCAGAACGUAUCACAAGGAGAAUGCCAACAAAAUGCAUGUUGGCAGGAAAAUUGACCAUGUCCCUUCCCUGCGUAAAUCCCUUCCAUGACUUCCCAUUAGGUUGAAAUCUAAAUCCCCCCUACCCACCAACAUACAUGGCCCCCUCAUAGCCUAACUGCCCACAUUUCAGCUACACUGGCCUUCAAUCUCUCCUCAUUGCCAGGCUUCUCUGAUUCUGGGCCUCUUCACAAUGCUGGUUCCUCCCCAAAACUCUGGCAUCUUUUCCAUAGCUCUUCCCACAGGAAGAGCUUAUUUCUUCAAGGAGGCCCCCUGGGCAGUCCUGGCCAGGUGAAAUUCUUGUUCCUUUUAAAAAAAUUUUAAUAGCAUUCAUCUCAAUGUGCAGUUACAUAUGUAUUUGUGUGGCUAAUUUGAUGAAUAUCUGUCCCCUUCACUAGAGAGUGAGUACCAUGAGAGUGGGCAUCAAGGUAUGUGCUCAUGGCUGUAUUCUCUAUGCCUGCAUGUCCUAGGCACUCCAAAAUAUUGAUUCAAUAAAUGAAGUAAUGAUGGUUUGGAAAGCA